rnacentral:sRNA from 1 species
UGUAUCGACUGCGUAUACGUAUUAGUGUUCGGUUACUGUUUCUGUUUCAGUUUUGAGGUCCUGGCAAAUUGGUCAUGGCCCGUGUUUAAUGGGCUUUGCGACAAAGGCUUUCAAACGAGCUUUGUGCCACACAGGAAUACUCGCAGCCCCACAAAAUCUCCAGCAUGUGUCGCCGGCUUUGUCUGUCCAAUUUGCUUUCCAAAUCCAAUUGCUUGAUAUGUGUACAUAUAAAUAAGUCAAUUAACAUUUCAAUGUCAAUUUCCUACUGCCUACUGGAUGGGGGCAAGGCAACAAAUCUCGGGCAGCCAGUGGAAAAAGAAAAAUUUGUUCUUGACCUAGAAACAAAGGCAGGCACCAGGCAGCACAGGCACAAAACGAUGACGACACCAGACAGGGGAUUCCCCACCAACGACGACGUCACCAAAAAGGCCAGGACACGAAGAAAAGAAGAGCGAACCAAACAAAAAUUAAAAUUAAAACAAGGACACAAAAAAAAAAGAAGAAAGCUCCCUCGUCCCCACCCGCACACAAGCCCAAUAGCUAGAGACGCCACAACACCAAGGAGGAGGAGGAGCAAGUGGGGAUCCGCCAACAGCCGGCAGCUGUGGGCCAGGACAAAAAAUAAGAAAGAAAGACUGGGACGGGCCGGGAGCAGCCAGAAGUGGGUUAAUAAGCAAAACUCAGACGACGAUGAUGACGAUGGAAAAUGGCAACGAAGUGCAUAAUCAACAAGAGAGGAAAAUUCGCAGUGGGUGCGAACUUUACUCAUUUUCAUUUAGGUUCUCGGUCUCCGGAAAACUUUGCCGGCAUCCCUCCGUGAGUAUCUAUGUGUGUGCUGCCCUGGUGUGGGGAAAUGAACGAAGAGCCGAGAGGAAAGAGAGAAAACCUCAAGGAGCGCGAAAAUGAAACCAAAGACACUGCCACGGAAAGUCUGAGCGCCAAGUUUCCCGCCCACUGGCGGCCUCCUGCUCCUCCUCCUCCUCCUCUUCUGGCUAAAUUAGCUGCAACAGCCGCGCGACAUUAAAAAGUUUGCCAGGACCCGACCCUGACUCCCUUGGCAGCUCGGAAAAAAAAAAUAAAUGAAAAGAAAAUGCAAAGAAAAUUUACCGUGAAAAGUGAAAUUAAAAUGGAAAAGAAAAGAAGUUGAAAACUUUUAGGAGUGCAGUGGAAAUUAGCGGCAAGUGGAAAGAGUCAAGG